rnacentral:rRNA from 1 species
UACGCAGGGGGCUAGCGUUGCUCGGAAUCACUGGGCGUAAAGCGCACGUAGGCGGGUUCUUAAGUCAGGGGUGAAAUCCUGGAGCUCAACUCCAGAACUGCCUUUGAUACUGGGAAUCUCGAGUCCGGGAGAGGUGAGUGGAACUGCGAGUGUAGAGGUGAAAUUCGUAGAUAUUCGCAAGAACACCAGUGGCGAAGGCGGCUCACUGGCCCGGUACUGACGCUGAGGUGCGAAAGCGUGGGGAGCAAACAGG